GUUAAGGUGGUGCAGUGGUUAGCACUGCUGCCUCAAAGCAAGAAGGUAGCGGGUUCGCAUCCGGCCUGGGGCC